UAGAUGAAAAGAUUUGAAGGUGAAGUAGGA
rnacentral:piRNA from 1 species